UGUUAAUCGAUUCCCGCGUUAGGGACCGCAGCGGCAUCCCCGCAGCAAGGCAAGGGAUAUAGCGAAGGCCCCGACCGACG
rnacentral:misc_RNA from 1 species